rnacentral:rRNA from 1 species
AGGACGAACGCUGGCGGCGUGCUUAACACAUGCAAGUCGAACGGUAAGGCCCUUCGGGGUACACGAGUGGCGAACGGGUGAGUAACACGUGGGUGAUCUGCCCUGCACUUCGGGAUAAGCUUGGGAAACUGGGUCUAAUACCGGAUAUGACUACGAAUCGCAUGGUUUGUGGUGGAAAGCUUUUGCGGUGUGGGAUGGGCCCGCGGCCUAUCAGCUUGUUGGUGGGGUGAUGGCCUACCAAGGCGACGACGGGUAGCCGGCCUGAGAGGGUGUCCGGCCACACUGGGACUGAGAUACGGCCCAGACUCCUACGGGAGGCAGCAGUGGGGAAUAUUGCACAAUGGGCGCAAGCCUGAUGCAGCGACGCCGCGUGAGGGAUGACGGCCUUCGGGUUGUAAACCUCUUUCAGUAUCGACGAAGCGCAAGUGACGGUAGGUACAGAAGAAGGACCGGCCAACUACGUGCCAGCAGCCGCGUAA